UCUCUCUCUCUCUCUCUCUCUCUGUGAUUGAAAUUAGAAAAGAAUACUUUUCAGCGCGGUAUUGUGCCCUGUUUACGCUCCGUUUUGAGCCUAGCCAACCAACACUUUAACAGAGCUUUUGAGGAUAAGACUUAAAUUAUCGCAGCCAGAAAUGAGUGAUUCUCAUACACCCCCACAUGGCCAGCAAACCAUGAAACCCCAGCAACAGCAACAUAUGCAGAGACGGCUCUGCGAUUACUGUAACGAUACCACUGCUCUCCUCUAUUGCAGAGCUGACUCAGCCAAGCUUUGUAUCUCAUGUGACCGUGAAGUUCACUCCACAAACCAGCUCUUCUGCAAGCAUACUCGCUCUCUUCUAUGUGACGCCUGCGACAAGUCCCCUGCUUCUAUCUUUUGUGAAACUGAGCACUACGUUUUCUGCCAAAACUGUGACUGGGAAAGGCACCGUCUUUCAUCGUCCGUGCACAAUCGGAGGCCUAUUGAGGGGUUUAGUGGGUGUCGUUCAUUGAGUGAGUUGAUCAGUAUUUUAGGCUUUGAAGAUCUUGGUGAUAAGAAACCUCUGUUUUUAAGUGAAGAAAAUAAUGGCUCAGUGGAGUCUAAGCUUGAUGACUCGGGUUUUGGAGAUGGGUAUUCGGAUUUAUUGAUAUGGGAGAGUCCUGCUGUUGUUAGCAUUGACGAUUUGAUAGCUUCUAGUGAUUCGGGUCUAAAUUUUCAGGCCUUAGGGGUUCCUCCUCUUCCCAAGAAUCGUAAUGCUGUUUGUGGGAAACAUAAGGAAGAAAUACUUCGUCAGCUUCGUGAACUAGCAAGGUUGGAACCUGACUCAAUUUGUGAAAACCCAGAAAGUAAGGCUAUUAGUUUGUUCCAGCCAUCAGCUGCUGGACUAAAUGUCCAUGAGCAAGAUAUAUGUACAGGUUUUGAGCCAGAUGCAAAGCCAAUUCCGUUCCCUGUUUAUGAGGAAAAUGUAUUUCACUGGAUUAGUGAUACUGGUGAGGCUGGAAAUCAAGUUUGUGAUCCUUCUCCAUUACUGAGAAGUAAGGAAAGUUCUGUUCUUCCUGACAAGCAGCCCAAUAUUGGUGGAAGUGUGAAUCGUGCCAAUGGAAGGGAAGAAGAGGAACCGCAAUUUCCUCUCUCUACUAGGAUGAUAUCAGUUUUUU
rnacentral:misc_RNA from 1 species